rnacentral:pre_miRNA from 1 species
AAAAAGACAAACUCUGGUUUCCAUGUCCAACGUUUGACCGUCCGUCUUAUUUGAAAAAAUUAUGAAAAAAAUUUAAAAGACAAGUCACGCAUAAAAUAUUAAUCAUAUUUUAUCAUCUAACAACAAUGAAAAUACGAAUUAUAAAAAAAAUUUCAUAUAAGACGGAUAGUCAAAGUUGGACACGGAAACUCAGGAUUUGCCUUUUU